GACGAACGCUGGCGGCGUGCCUAAUACAUGCAAGUCGAACGCAGUGGGGACGGGUGAGUAACACGUGGGUAACCUCCCAUCAGAGGGGAUAACACUUGGAAACAGGUGCUAAACCGCUACUGAUGGAUGGACCCGCGGUGCAUUAGCUAGUGGUUGGGGUAACGGCUCACCAAGGCCACGAUGCCGCGCCGGCCUGAGAGGGUGAUCCGCCACACGGGGACUGAGACACGGCCCAGACUCCUACGGGAGGCAGCAGUAGGGAAUCUUCGGCAAUGGACGAAAGUCUGAUCGAGCAACGCCGCGCGAGUGAAGAAGGUUUUCGGAUCGUAAAACUCUUUUGUUAGAGAAGCGUUAUCUAACCAGAAAGCCACGGCUAACUAAGGGCCAGCAGCCGCGGUAAUAC
rnacentral:rRNA from 1 species